rnacentral:lncRNA from 1 species
AUAUUCUAGUCUUAUCUUUUAGUUUGUCCUCUGUCUUUGGGGCUAAUAGCUCAGUAUCUUAGAAAUUCAGCAGCACAUACAUGGCAUAAACAGCCUUCUUAUGUCUUACACUGGAAGAGAUUGUUUUGAACUUUUUAUUACAAAAUAAAAAUCCAAUUGACUCUUCUUAAUGUACUAACGUGUUUACAAACUUGGGGGCUAUUUAGAAAGUGAUAUAAAUUCUUUCACAUGAUCUGAAUAUUGGUACAAAUGACGUUCAGAACAUUCCCUAUUAUAAAGACCUACAGUUUGUACAAGUAGAAUCUUUCCAUUAAACAGUCUCAGUUUCCUUAAAGUUGUUUUCUUUUCCUUUUCUUAAGUUCAGCCUUUAAUUUGUUUAUUUCAAUUUUCUUUUUCAGGAAAUAUAACCAAGAAGAGUUCUGAGAGAAUAUCCUCAUUUGUCCUUCUGGGAUUAAACAAGAAUACUGUAUUUUGGAACUCCGGGAGUUGGUGAUAGACAAGGAGGCCUGGCGUGCUACGAUUCAUGGGGUCGCAAAGAGUCAGACAUGACUGAGCAACUGAUCUGAUCUGAUCAGGGAUUUAACCAAGUGCCUGUCUGCCCCAGACCAUCAGAGGCAGCUGAAACUUAGGGUGGAUGA